rnacentral:lncRNA from 1 species
AACCGAAGCCGUCCCAAAGUCAUCGUCUACCCGUCACCGUCUUCUCCGGCGGCCGCCAGCGGGAUCCCUUCGCCGGCACCGUCUCCGCUGCCUCUAGACUGGAGACGACGCCUGUCUCCUCGCCACCCUCAGCCGAGUAAGAGCUUCCUCCUCGCGGAUCCAACUUCAUUUCGGCAUCGAUGUGAAUCGCUCGCUCAUUGCUGCAGUUUUUGCAUUCGUCCCGGUGAAUAUUGUGUCGCUUCAUGUGGCCGCUCCUAGAAUUCCAUCGAUCUGGGCUUCCUUGUAGCCGUAUGUACUGGGAUUGUAGUAUUUCGGACCAGCCGAAAAUUCUCACCCAUGUGGGAUUAGUAAUGCUUUCUGUACUCCGCUCGUGCCAAGAACCAGGCAAUAGGUUUUACAAUUUUGUAGCAGCUUGUUGUUCACCACGGUCACUAUAAUUCUUUCUGUGACUGCUUGAAAUCUAGUCUGCAUUAUGAGAAAGGGUAAAUACUGAGACUGAUGGAAUAGUUUUAAUUAUUAAUAUUUGAUGCAAAAUCACUGACUUAUGGUCAACAAGUAGCAUAUCGAUGCAAACAUUAAAUUAAAGAAUCUUAAUGUGUGAAGGAAGCUUAGUACAAGUAAAUGGUUCAAUAAUUUAAAACGGGUAGAAAAUGAAUGGUGAAUGUUCUUGAUGAAUCUUAAUCAGAUUCGUGGAACCAUCAGGUACCCAUUUUGUAGUUCAAGUGAACUGGGUAACCCAAAUCAAGAAUAUUGGAGCUCUUUCAUCAUGUCAGCAUGAUGUUUGGCUCUGCAUUGUACCAGAUAGAUGCUAAAUCAAAACUGCUUGCUGUCAGUGACCACCAUUUGGUUUAAAUACAAUGCCUAAGCAUGGCCUUUUGCGAUGGUGCCCUCAUGUAUCCAGCCUUUUUAGAACAUGGAUAUUUAGACAUUUGUCUCAUUUGGUUGCCAUAUGCCUCUAGCCUAGCCUUUAUUAGGUCAGAUUGUGUAGAUGCAGUAGUUUGUUUUGUUGGCUGUAUCAACUAAGAGUGGCCAUAAUGUAUCCUAUCUCUUUAGAAUAUGAAUAAUGAUGCAUGUUUUGUUUGGUUGCCAUACGCCUAGCCUAGCCUGUAUUAGGCCAGACUGUGUCAAUGGAGUAGCAGUUUGUUUCGUUGGCUGAAUGAUAUAAUAAUUGGCCAUAAGGGAUGGUAUUUCGUUGCCUGCAUAAAUACAUGCUGCAGAGAUAAAUACACUAACCAUCAGUUUAUGGAAUGUUCAUCUUCUUUGAGGUAUUAUGAUAGACAGAAUCUGCUUCGUCUGGUUGACCUGUCAAGGAUUAGAGAGAGAAUGUGAGUGACAAGAUAAAGAAUAUUCAUAUUUUGAUAUCACUCUUCAUAUGGUAGCUGUAGAAUUCUUGAAGGAACUUAACUUACCUAAGUAUCUUAACUGGCUCAGCCGUAAGCCUACUAAUGUGCUUCUGCAGUUCUUUCCCGAUACUACGCUGACAAUGUGACUGCAGAAUAAACCCCUGUAAAUGGUAUAGUUUGAAUAAUGAUUUGGGGAUACUGGUGAAUAUCCUGCUGUCACAUAUGUCGAGAUACCUAAGGUGGACCAGAGGUUCAAUAUUAUCUGGCAGAAUACCAUCUGGAUGUUGUAGUACCAGCACACGCAAACUCCUUAGCUCAUGUAGUGUUUCUUUAAGAACAUUGUUGAAGUUAUCUGGAGGGAUUCUUUCUCCAGAAGGAGCAUGGUGUUUGCAUAUUAUUAGGCUCCUUAGAUUUUUCUUCAAAUCCUGGGAUUCUACCAAACUCUCCUGUGAUUCAACCAAACUCAUGUACACCUUAGAAAUAUUGCUUGCAUUGACAUAUAGGUGUCGGACAUUUCUUGGAAUAGUAACAUGGAAAUCAUCUUCAAUUCGAAAAUGUUCUCCAUUGGAGAGUGAUUCUGCCAGAUCAUGUAGCAAGUCAUGGACUACAUAAUGGUUCUCUAGAUUGGCUGCUUUUUUAAUGAAUGAAAGCUGCAAGAGAUCAUCAAUAUAGCGAUAUGCAUUUUCAUCUGAUGUUUCCUUUUGAAUGUAACCAUGGGCUCGCCACAUCUGUAUGAGCACGUCACCCCGAAGUUGGUAGUUCUUCGGAAACAACGCAAAGUAAACAAAGCACUGCUUCAAGUGAUCUGGAAGAUGCUCGUAGCUCAAUCUUAAUGCUGGCAUAAUAUCAUCUUCUGUCUGUUCAAUCUGCCACAAUUUGAGCUGGAGAACAGCCUUCCAGUGGUCUUCGUCUAGCUUCAGUUUCAGUUCACCUCCUACCGUCUUGGCUGCUAAUGGUGAACCAGCCAAUUUCAUUGCCAAUUGUUCACCAAUUUCCACCAAUCUUGGAAAAUCUGAUGGUCUUGCAUUGCCAAAUGCGCAUUGCUGAAAAUGAUCCAAGUAAUCUUUGCGUUUCAAGCCAUCUAAAUGUAUAAUCUCUGUUGCUCCAUUUAUCUUUGCAACCUUUUGACUUCGAGUCGUAAGCACCACUUUGCUGCCCAUACUGGCAAACUGGAGGGGCUUCAACAAUGUUUCCCAUUUGCUGCUCAUUUCGUUCCAAACAUCAUCAAGCACUACCAAAAUCUUGCUCCCGUUCAGCUUUUUUUGAAGUUUUCUUUGAACUAGAUCUAAGUUGCUGAUGCUGUUCAAGUCUGCUGAUAUGGAGCCAUCCCAUGAAACCCUGCUGGUACCAUCUCUUUUCCUUUUAAGUCUAUGGCAUUUCUGUGACUGUACCAUCUCUUUUGUGAGGCGUUUGACACCAAAUUUUUCUGAGACAUAGAGCCAUGCCAUGAUAUCAAAAUGUCCUAUAUCACGAAAAUGGUUGUAUACUCUCUGCAGUAGCGCAGUUUUACCAACACCAGCAACUCCAACUAUUGCUAUGACAGAAUAUGGUUGUCUGUAUUCAUCAUUUGUUUGUUCUAGUAGUUUCUUUAACUUUGUUUCUUCACCACCUCUACCAAAAAAAUUUGUGGCACCUAGAAUAGAGGUUGUUCUCCGCCACUGAAGUGCCUUUCCUGGUUUUCUAUCCCUUGGAUCAGCGAGCUCUAGGAAUGUUUGCAUCUCACUAGCAAUCUUAUCAAACUUGUCCACAAUUGCAAUUAACUUAUUAAGGUCUUCAUCAGAAAAAAAGAGACGUUUCAGAAUACGAACUGACCGUUUUACUGUUGAACUGCUGCUUGUGCUGGUAGAGGCAGUGGUGUUGGUUGUUGCAGAGAUAGUGGAAGAGGAAGGACUAACAGUAACAUAAUCAGAUGAAUUGGCCAUCAUGUCUUCAGCUUUUGCUUCUAAAAAACGAUAGUCAAAUAAAUCAAGAACAUCUUCAGCCUGGUAAGCGGCACCUUUUAUACUUGCUAGCCAACUUUUCAUACUUGGAUCUUUUGCUGGCAGGCUUGAAGCUGUUUUCAGCACGAAUGGGAUCUUCUUGAGCUUGGCUAGUUUAUCCUUCGCAUCAUCCAUUUGGUAUUCAAACUGAUCUUCUAGGUAAGAGCACACUUUGCUAACCAUCAUGGCGAUGCAGGCUGAUGCCAUCCAUUCUCCUAUUGCUAUAGGAGUCAUUAUACCCAAGAUGCAAUAACUCCAAUAUACCAAUGCCAGGAUUACUCACAGAAGGAAAUGGGUAUUGAGUUGAGAAAACUGGUGCUUUAUAUAAGAAGAGUAAUGAUAAUGAAGCUAGAUUAUUAUAUGGAGUUAAAAACAAAUAUUGUUAUCAGAAACUUCCCCGAGUUGCAUCGUCCUAGAUGUCUCCAAAAGUGUGUUGCUUUGUUGCCUAGUAGUUUAGUAAAACGUCACAUGUGUUGCUUUGUUACUACCAUUUUAUUUGUUGUUCAUCAACUCUAUUAGUCUCUCACCAAUCUCGUUUAUUCCGCUGUAACUAUUGAUGUUGACCUGUUAUGUGAUACUUGAAUGUUGGAUCCACGUACUAUUGAUGUUGACCUGCUCUGUGAUACUUGGGCUUUGUUUAGUUGGUGAAAAAUUCUAGGUUUGACUACUGUAGCAUUUUUGUUUGUAUUUAACAAUUAUUGUCCAAUCAUAAAUUAACUAGACUUAAAGAUUCG